GUAAUAUCGUAGUAUACUCGAGGCAUCGUGACUGACUUCGGCCUACGGCUGUGUGCGGUAAUCAUACGACUGGUACGUACGAGUCUAGUACGACCUAGUGCGGUCGGCGCAACUCAGUGCAGUGUGGCGCGGUGCAGUCCAGAAGGAGCAGACGAUAUCGGCCUAGAAGAAAGAUAGUGGUCUCCAGGACGCCGUCGCACGGGCUACAGUGGCUA